UAAGUUUAAAAUUGUUGAAUUUAAGCUCAAGAGCAUAGAGGGGCAAAUUCGGAUAAGGGAAAAGAGAAAGUAAUCGAAUAGCCGUUGUAAUCGUUCGGUAACAUUCGAGGUAAGUUCUUAAGUGUUUAAGCUUGAUUCCUUUUUAUAUGCCUAAGAGUUAAAUUAAUAUGGCAAAGAGAAUGUAAAUUUUAUUUAGUUAAUGUGCCGAAUAUGUAAUGAUUUAAGGCUAUAAGCCGAUUAUGGCUAUUAUGCUUAAGUUGAAUUGGACUUGGAAAUUUG
rnacentral:lncRNA from 1 species